UGCUUUCUCCACGUAGCCUCUAAUCAAGAUCCGAUCCCUAAACUCUUUGCCUCGCCAUACAAUGCCCUCGCUAGUGCGUUGAUUUCCCACUCUAGUAUUUACAAGCCCUUUGGUAUGAUUCUCUUGUGUUCAGAAUCGGGUUGUGCCUGUUUUGAGGAUCCUCAAUCGACUUUGGACUUGAGGGUUACAAACCGAGUUACUAACGAAGGCUUGGAGAUCAGUCAUU
rnacentral:lncRNA from 1 species